rnacentral:rRNA from 1 species
AUUGAACGCUGGCGGCAGGCCUAACACAUGCAAGUCGAACGAGUGGCGGACGGGUGAGUAAUGUCUGGGAAACUGCCCGAUGGAGGGGGAUAACUACUGGAAACGGUAGCUAAUACCGCAUACCAUCGGAUGUCCCCAGGUGGGAUUAGAUAGUAGGUGGGGUAACGUCUCACCGGGGCGACGUUCCCUAGCCGACCUGAGAGGGUGGUCGGCCACACUGGGACUGAGACACGGCCCCGACGCCUACGGGAGGCAGCAGUGGGGAAUAUUGCACAAUGGGCGCAAGCCUGAUGCAGCCAUGCCGCGUGUAUGAAGAAGGCCUUCGGGUUGUAAAGUACUUUCAGCGAGGAGGCGUUACUCGCAGAAGAAGCACCGGCUAACUCCGUGCCAGCAGCCGCGGUAAUUC